ACAUUCCAACUCGCAUACCUCAAUCUCAAUUCUCUCACACUUCGAGCUCGCAUCUUACGUCGCACCCGCCCGUUCUGGUGCGACAACCCUUGUCCAUUUCCCACAGGAGCCGGGUGCUGCUCCUGCGCGUCGCCUGUGGGGUACGCCCUAGCCCUAUCGCUCAUAACUUUAUUUCCUUUCCUCAUGCUGCAGAAGUUUUGGCUUAAGUUUUAUGGUCGGCCGCCUGCCUGACACCAACCCUCCUUGGGAAUGCUAUUGUGGUGAUUUACCCGUCACCGUGCGGGUGGCCCAAAGUACAGAUGUUAUGCACUGGCCUUUAGGUUCCCUUUAGUCGCCUCUUACGACACCCGCGGGAGAGAGAUGGGGACGUCCUAUUCUGAUCCGGGAUCGUCACGGAAAGGGUCAUAGGGAUAUAAGGACUGAAAAAGCGACAUUGUCUUAUACUAUGUAGUGAUGCACAAAUAGUAACCAAACGGGUGGUCAAGUCCGCAAGGAUACAUGAGGGUUUUAAUUAGUAGAAUAAAGUUAUUUAAGUUGUUUGUCAGCUUUCACAGAGUUCUCAUCAUAUGGCACAUCAGGCUUGUUAGCCAGGACAGUCGACAGUCAUUGGUGAUGAUAGACUGAUGCCAUCACACCUCCAAUUCCACAGGAUUAUAUUUCAAACCAAGAUGUAUUAUCCUGGCCAUUAGAUGAUAUCUAUGCAAGUACUCACGACAAGUAUUUGCAUUAAAUGGGCUACGGACUUGACUGAACUGAUUUGAAAAAUCUUUCAGUGGUGGAAAAGCUACGUUAUUUAUAAUAAGAAGAUAGGUUUUCCUUAUAUACCAUACGUGCCAAAGUAUUUUAAUUCCAUAGGCAGUCGUAGGCUUACAGGACUGAUAUUUUUUUUCCCCAGUGGUUAACAAUGUUCCACCCAUAACAAAAAUUGAAGUUUAGGGUAUUAGCUAUCAUUUGAUGUGCAAAUGAAUAUUAUUGGCUAUGCCGGUUAAACUCACUGGAGCAGUGGAAUAGUUACUUACACCUUGCGUUGUGAAUACUAACUGUUCUUUUUUUUUUUAAAUUGGACACAUACACCUUCUGCGACACGUCCUGACUGAUAUUGACAAUAAUAUAAUGCACGUAACAGCCCUCCCAAACAAAAUGAAGUGGUUCAAGUCCAUGGGCUGUCCUAUGCUAUCAAGUGUCAUAUCUUCGUUCUCCGGUGGUUUACAAUAUUUUGCCCAUAAUAAAAAAUGAAGCUUAUGACAUAAGCUAUCAUUUGAUCUGCAAAUGGUUUUUAUUGGAUAUACCGGUUAGACUCACCAGAACGGCGGAAUACAUACACCAUACGUUGUAAAUACUAGAUGCUAAAUAAUCUUUUUUUUUUUCAAUAAACUUGGAAAAUAUGGGCAUAGACACCUUCUGUGACUCGUUCUGACAAUUAUUGACAAUAAUAAUGCACUUAAACAUCCCUCCCAUAUGCAAUGAAGUGGUUCAAGUCCAUGGGCUGUCCUAUGCUAUCAGGUGUUAUAUCUUCAUUCUCCGGUGGUUUACAAGGUUUUGCCCAUAACAAAAAAUGAAGCUUAGGGUAUAAGCUAUCAUUUGAUAUGCGAAUGGUUUUUAUUGGCUUUACCGGUUAGACUCACCGGAAUUGCGGAAUACGUACACUGCGUUGUAAAUACUUCCUGCUAAUAAUCUUUUUUUUAUAAGCUUGGAAAAUAUGGGCAUAGACACCUUGUGUGAUAUGUCCUGACUAAUAUAGACAAUAAUAUAAUGCAUUUAAACAUUGCUCCCAUACAAAAUGAAGUGGUUCAAGUCCAUAGGCCGUCCUAUGCUAUCAAGUGUCAUAUCUUCGUUCUCCGGUGGUUUACAAGGUUUUGCCCAUAACAAAAAAUGAAGCUUAGGGUAUAAGCUAUCAUUUGAUAUGCGAAUGGUUUUCAUUGGAUAUACCGGCCAAUUUUACCCAUCAUCCUUUUG
rnacentral:lncRNA from 1 species